CGGAACGCCCCACUGAUGACGUCAGUGUCGCGAGCCCCUGCCGUUAGCGUGUGGCGGCAAGUUCCCGGUGUUUAGGCCCAAAACAGACUCCUGCCGCAAAACAGUAGGAACUGCGCCAGUUUACCUCCACCUGCAGGACAGAGGAGAACACAUACGUCUGUUCCAGUCGACUGAUUCCACAGCGAAACCUCUUUAGUUUCCUUGGGAGGAGGUCACAUCAGCUGUAUCGGAGGUGGUCUUGUAAUGUGUGGAAGGUCUCCUUUGGGUCAACACACAGAUAUAGCCCACGCUGUUUCGCCAGCUGCUGCUGGACAGGCGGGUCACUGGAGGGCUGUGAGGACUGAAGCUAAAUGACAGCGGCCUGCAACAGCUGGAGGUGUGGGCCGAGUGGCUUAGAGGGUCUGACUCCGAGUCAAGGCUGUCUCCAGCAUCAUUCGGAUCCUGCAUUUCAGAACAACAGGCUCAACAGUCACGUGGCUCCAGACUCGUUAAGACGACGCGACCGUGGACUCCAGGACGAUGCCCUUGUCAGACCCCGGCGAGGGAGAACAGCCACGAGGCCGGGGACGGCACCAGGCAUGAGUGGACAUGGGCUCGAGCCAGGUACCGCUGAGAAGCAGCUCCACGCCGGCCGGCGGGUCGCACGGAGCCACACACAGAUACUGGCUGGGAAAAGAAACAUGCACGUAGGAGGAUAGAUGAGUAACGGUUCCUCCCCCUCUGCUGCCCUACAAGUGCCCUUGAGCAAGUCGGUCAUUGUUAAGAGACGAGGGAAGAGGCGGAGGUGGAAGAAGCAGCGCGAGCUCUUGCAAGUGUGUGUGAAGACGACGGAGAAUGAGGCGAAAGACAAGAGACUAAGUGUUUCCCGAGCGGAGGGAGAGAAUGGCUCCGCUGUCGGCUCAAUGCCCACAGGAACGAAGCGGGGACCAGCGCAUCGUAAGACAACGCACAGCGGUGACUCAGCCUCCAGCAGCAGAAGCAGUGUGAGAACACAAACCGGGGCUUAGAAGCGAGCUCGCUCAUUACAUCAGCGCUCAGGUGUUGUCUCCUCGUUUUAUGAGCAGCCAGACGAGGCCGGAGUUUAGAGCUGUGUGUCAUUAAGGCCCGCGGACCGCUUCAAGGUUCUGUGGUACCUCUGCUGGAAGACGUCUCCGUGGUUGAGUCACUGCUUAGAAAGCUUCCACAUCCUGCCUUCGCUGAGACACCAGGAGGAUAGACAGACAGAUAGAUAUGUAUUAUCUGAGGUGUUUACCAAAGCCGCACUACAGAGUAGAGAGAGGAGCCCACAGCACAUACACAUCAAGCGAAGGAUGUUCCAGUGCUCUGAUUUCUCAAGCAGAUAUACAGAAAACCCAUCGCCAAAGAAUGAAGAUGCCUUUUUGAAAAACGUGGAGCAGAAGGUAGUGUUUGGUUUUUAUGAGCAUUAACAUGAUGCUAAGCAGUAAAGCAUGAGCUUUACAUCAAUAUAUGGACAGACUGAUUUCCUCCUGCUUGUUGGAAUGCUGCAGUAGUCAAGGUGCAGUAAGGGACCGUUUAAACGCCUGUAAUGAGGCUGCUGCAGGUUGACAGGAGGAACCUGGUGAUUAUUCACAGCCGUGUUUAUGAAGUGACCAGCGACGCACAGUCCCUUCACUGCACCGACCUGUUGGAACGGAACAAAUGCCGAAUCUGUUUGUUCUUCUGCCUACUGCUGGGCGUGGAACCGGUGGGACGAGCUGACACCAGUUGGAGCUUCAGGUCCGAUCAGCUGUGUAAUUGCAUAAUGAGCUGUACAGAACCAACAGCUCACUAUCACGUGGACCUCAGUGAGGAGACGAACCACAGUUGCUCACUCUCCACUGCAGAGGUCCAUGUAGCUGCUGUUUGACAGCCUUUUGUGCCCAGCCAGCGCCUGUUUACACUGAAGAAAGCAUGGAAGCUCAUAAAUGUUAGACAGGAGCUUAUCUCCUGUAGGAGAAGGAAUUCAUCUCAGAAGGACAGGAAAGGUCUCUCAGCCGGCAGCGACGGCUCCGUUUGAAAAAGAAAACAGGAGUUCAGUAGCGACAUGAACAGAGCUGGUCGCCAGAGAGGAGCUGGGAGAUGUUGUGUUUCAUCUGGAGCUUGUUGAUCCGCUGUGUCCUCGCACCCCCCCUCACCCCGCGCCGCUUCUCCAGGCGAGUAAUUCCACAGCAGGGAGCUCCGGCAGCUGCGCCUCCUGGAAGGCAGGCAGCUCCACGCGUACCCGUUCUCCACGCGUACCCGUUCUCCACGCGUACCCGUUCUCCACGCGUACCCGUUCUCCACUCAUUCUGCACCCGUUCUCCACCCUUCUCCACCCAUUCUCCACCGUGUUUCUCUUCCUGCGACCGUUGUCCAUCGCAGGAUGGACGUUUCAGGUUGCAUUCCUGGGUUUAGGCCCGGCUCGGCUGCAGACCCGCCAAGGCUGCGAUCCUCAUUAAUAGGACAUGUCACUAAAACCUUUUUAAUAAACACAAUUUAUUAUCCGGCUCCUCGUGUAGAUGCUGAAUUGGUUAAAUGAAUUAUUCACGCGGUGCUGCAUGGUCUUUGCUGCAUUACGUCUCAGGACUGUGCAUCUGUUGCAUAAUGUGGUCACCACAUGUGUCCCAGCCCUGCUCUCACCAUGUCUCAGCACCACUGUGGUGUCAGCACCGGGUCCAGCCGCUGGUUGGAGGCCGUUGCUUCGACUGCGGCAUGUCGCCAUGCAGCGUCGCCGCCGUCGCGCUGCUGUGGUUCAUGCGUGAGGGUGUGGAUGCAGAGCAGAGACUGAGUCUUGGUGUGUCUGAUUACAUUAGGGAGCGACUCGCUCCUCAUUGACGGUUCCUCUCAUUUUUCUAAUUGACUGUAGCCGGAGAGACGCUGCAGCGAGACGGCGGAGCGGGCGAUCGAGCAGAGCGAGAGAGAGAGGAACCUUCACUGGUCGGCGCUAAAUGUUUGUCUCCCUCUGGCCCCCCCUCCCUCAUUUCCUCUUAACUCUCCCGCUGACAUGACAUAUCAUUACAGGCCAAUCAUCGCAGGGACCGUAGCUGUCACUGAAUAAAUCAGACGGACACAACUGGGUUAGAAAACGGGGGACCUGCGCUGCUGCGUGCAAAGACACUCAAACACAUACUUGUCAUGAGACGAGUCCGCUGCCUCCUUAUUGGAGGAGGUGAGACUGGCCGCCCUGCAUCAAACAACACAGCCUGUGGUGGUGGUGGGGGCAGCGAGUGUCCCCCCCCACACGCUGACCCCCGUACUGUGCGUUAGCACUACUGACCUCCUGUGUCUUAUGUCCACUGAGUUCAAAGCUUUGACAGAGAGAACAGUGAUUUAAUUGCACGGUUUCCACCUGAAAGACUGAAGCUACUCUUCUGCAUGCGCUUCCUAUUUCAUGUCUAGGAUUAAAAACACUAUGCUGAAUUGCAAUUUUUAACCACAUUCUAUUCUAUUCUACUGAUUCCACUUAAACACUUCACAGGAUCAUUUAUCAUGAUGAGGUAAGUGCUGAUAAUAAAUCAUUAUUUGUCCCUGCUUAUAAAAACCAGGCUUUUUGUGCUACUAAACACCGACGGUGGGAAAUGUGAGCAAAUCCUUUGAGCGUAAAGGCAUUAAGUUCACAAAGGGGCGACUUACAGUAGCAGGCAGCUCCUGGUUUGGAUCACACCUCCCUGUGAUGUACGGCUGUUCAGUCGCUGGCCCUGUAUAACGUUGGAUCAGCGCUUUGAGGUAAUAACUGCAUAAUUACAUUGAGACUUCACUCAUUAGAUGACUUAACGUGAUGCCACUCUAUGACAGUAGCAGAUACAGCUGUCGUACAUAACAUCUGUCUCCCGAGUGUCUAAGCCGCAUUAUUAAUAAACGUAAACAAAGCCGUGCCCCGUUUUGCUGCUUGUUUUCCAACGCGCCGUUGUUUCACUUCAUGAAAGAUAAAACAUGCAGCACGUUGUUAGGGAGCGGACGGGAAACACGCAUAACGCCCAGUGAGUUCUGCCGGCGCCAGGAAAAGCCCGCGUCCGGCGUGUGAUUGGCUUCCAGGCGGUUAGGCAGCCGAUGGGGCCUGUCCCCCACCCCCGCCUGCCGCGGCGGAGGCCGGAUCAGGAGCAGAGCCCGGCACCUCCUCGUGUCCGAAUCGCCCUCCUUGAUGUCUUGAUUGAUGCCAAGUGGAGUGAGCGCCGCAGGAAAAAGGGGACGCGCCGCUCCUAAAGGAACACGUUUCAUCAGAAAACAAAGGCUUCGGUCGCUUUGCAGUUGUUCUCUCUGCACACGGGGAAUGUAGAUGAACGCAACCAGGAAGGUUUGUUUCAAACAAGGAAAUUUUAUUCAAUCUGAACAGUAAGACAGACCAUUUAAAUGACUUGAUGUGUUUUCAGUUCUAAAACUAGCAAAUUAGGACUGAAACUUGGUGUGUUUUAGGAGUGUGGUGAAAACCAGCAGAGGUGGAAGAUCAUGACUCUCUCUCGCUCUCUCUCUCUCUGUCUCGAGCUUGUGGAGGGUUUGAGCAGCACAUGGUGCCAUCAAAGUCACCGUUUAACACUCCGGCUGUAUAUGAGAGGCUCUUAACCGCGUUGCGACCCUGAGAACAGCCACUCGAUGCUCGCUUGUUUCCCACUUAGAGUGGACGCUUUCCGCCGCCCCAUUUACGGGACAUCUGGCCGCGUUUGACGGGUGAAGCCUAAACGACUGGACGUGUAGAAGAAAGUGCGUCUCUGCAUUCUGAGGGUUUAAUUAGCGUGCGUGCGACCCGCUGGUUCCACCCCAGGGGCGGUUGCGGCCAUGUUUGUGUGCUUGGCGCCAGCGUGGAGGGCGCCUGCUUCCACCUGCAGCUCUGCAGUAACACACACACAUCCCCACGCGGUGACAUAGAUUACCUCUCCCUGCGGGGCUGACAUAUGGGCCUGCUGUUCGCCAUUUUAGCCUCCUGGCAUGCAAACGAGCCCGAGGAGCAGAUGAGAGCCAUCAGUUACUCUGGGACGUUAUCUGAGCAAAGGUUGGUGAACAUGCAAUCAAUUAAAACCUCAACGACUUCUCUCACAUAGAUAGAAACACAGAUUUAAAAGACCAACAAUGUUCAACAAUGUUAAAUGCACAUUUAUAAAUUUACGUUCCAUUUCCCUGUUAAAGGUUCAUGCACCAUGAUGGUAUGUGAUGGUUUGUGUGUAUCCUCUGCUUUCUAUGAGGCAAAGUAUCCUUUCAGUCUUCCAUUAAGCUGUUUAUCCUCCGUGGAGUCAUUUAGAGGUCACGCGUACAACUGCGUCCUAUCGCUGUCGGGUGAGACUUUGAUUUAAUCAGGAAGUUCAUAAUUGCAGCGUAUCACACGUUGCUCAUCUAACUGAUCAAUAUACAGUGUGUGUGUCUGUGCUGCCUUUGCACAUUUAGAUUGUUAGCUUUAUCAUCAUCAUUCCCACACGACUGUUCUCGAUUCAUAAACGUGCUCUCAUUAUCUCCUGCCACUCUCUCUCCCACAUCAGGCUGCCACCUACAUGUACAUGAGGAAAACAUCAGCUGAUGCAGAAUAUUUUUGCUUCUUACUUUAGACUGUAGCUGCUCAUGCAUCAGGGCAGCGUUGUGGUGUUGUCCCCUCUAGUUGCUCUGAUCGUUGCUACGCGUUGCAUCUCAGCCCCUACUGUAGGCUCGGAGCGGGCCGGUGGAACCAGCUUGAGGUUCUGCCGGCUGGUGCAACCCGUUUAUAGGCGUUCCCCCGAACCAAGUUCAGCGUCGUCUGGGUCGGACUCGGUGCUUCCACACAGGUGCACCGCGUAGAACAAUUAACAUCCAGCCAUGCUCUGUGCCAGCUGAAAAGUGCUGAGGAGUCCUGGAACCAGAUCAAGAGCAAACAACGGGAGAGACUCAUUGUUUAUGUUUAAGAGUUUUUAUGUUUCCUGCCUGUAAUGGCACAUCUAGAAAUCCAACUUGUGUUCCCCAGAGUGUGUGUUUGUGUGUGUGGGUGUGUCUGACUCUUUGUUAAAGCCGCUGUGCAGCUGUUUGCCUGUGUAUCUCUUGUUUCAACACUGACUCUGCACAUCAAGCAGCCCACAGAGUUUUGUCAAUACCACUGGCUGGACUCCCUAACAACCAGCCCAAUCCUCUCUGCUUAUCUACCGGCUCCACACACUGCUCCAUUGUCUGUAAUGUCACACCAGUGCUAUCUCCAUGAUGGACCUUAAUGCAUCCUGACAUCAGCACAGGGCUUGAACAAUCUAGUUAUUAAUGCAAGACACUGUGGGUUGUCUGCUGCGGCUCGUGCACUGGAUUUCUGUCUGUGCUGUCACCGCAGCCUUUCUGCUUCGCCUCAGCCCACUCAGGUGGCGUGAGCCAGCUAAAUCUCCUCACGUAGCGCGACUCGCAUUGUCUCCGCUCUUGGCCCGUUCGCUUGGUUUAGGCGAAGGUGCGAGAGCGUGUGAGCUUAAUGAAAAUGAAGAGCAGAGGUGUGAAUAGCAGAGGUGUGGGGACGUGUCUGUGCUAAUUUGUUACCUGUCUGUGAAGGCGUGUGUCUGCACAUGCAUGAUGGCGCCACAGGGACGUGGAACAUGUGUGAGGGAGAUGAUGAUGAUGAUGUGAUGGAGGUGGCUGCACAGGUUCACCAUAAUGAACCUAGACAUGAGGAGGAGCCCUGCGACUCCUGGAGUAGCCGGGUUCUGCCCGCCCCGACAGUGACUCACAGCACAUCUCAGAUCAGGUCGGUCGCUGUGUAGGAGGCUCAGAGCUAAAUAUACAGUACAGAGGUUUUGUGAUGGAGAAUUAAUUGGCAGCAUCUCUGCAGUGAGCGUCGGAACAUCUCUGUCGUCUCACUUUUUUCUCUGGGAUUCAAUUAAAGGUGUCUUCAGAGAGUUGGCCUCAGAGGAGCCGCGUAAUCAGCCGUGCGUCUGUUCCGUUGCUCAACGUUCUGACCAACCGGCGCUAAAAGUCCGCAGCACGAGAGGGGUCGCUUUUAGAAAGCGUUUGCCUUUUCACACCGUCCCGAUUGAAUGUUAUCGAGUGAAUUCAGCUCUUUUUGUGUGCAGGCUGCUAAAAGACACAAAUGCAGUGGUGGUUCUUGGAUUGUCUUUGAAUUAUGCUCAGAUUUUGUCCUUCCUACAUAAUUGUGCUUCGUCAGCUGUGAAGCGCACAAUGAAUCAAAACCUAUACGAAAUCAAAAAAUGUGUCUAAUUUGAUCAUUUGAAAGUGAUUAUGCCUGUAAUUAUCCUGUUGUUAAAUAAGAGACAGAUCAGUUUCCACAGACCUCGUUUUCUGCCAUGAAUCGUUUUCUUCAACUGAAUUCAUGAUUAUGUUUUGAGCCACAGAUGAUAAUUGUGGGGCUCUUUAUCAUUGCACACUGUGAAUAGUAGCCUCUUUGUGUUCGUCAGUGCGCUCACACAAGCAUGUUUUUUUUUAUACAUUUGAGCCACUCGGUUAAUAAACGCCUACAAACGCUGCACAUACUGCAGCAGAGGAAGUAAAGUGAGCGAGAGCAUCAAGUGGCUUCACAGGGAAUCAAAGCUGACCGAACGUCUGAAGGCGGUGGAAGUUGGGCUGGUGUUUUAUGAGCGUCUGAACGCAGCAUUUCACCCACACAGUCGCAGUCUCAUGGGCUGAAGAUGAGCUUCUACUGCCAUCUGUUGGAGUGACUCUUAAUGCUCGGCAUGUUGGACCGUGGCCUGUGUCAUCAGUGACUGAGGCAGUGAACUGAUGCAUGAACAUGACCGCCUCAUUGAUAUGAGGUGUGUUGCUCUUUAUUGAGCCUUUUCUUAAGGCUCAAUCAAAGCACGUUGACUUGCAUUCGCCUGAACGCUGAUGUGCAGAUUAUAUUUGACUGUUUCUUUCUCUGUCCAUGAUGUUAAAUAUUCAGCUUCGGGAGCUACUGUAGGAUUCAUUAAAGUGGUGCCUCGUAGUGAAACUGUUCAUUUAGUCCAUUUAAUUGUUUUAUUUGUUUGGCCACAGCUUCAUUUACUCCCUGCACAGAACUAAUUACUCCUAAUAGUGUAAUUCGUGUGUAAAUCUUCUCAAAAUCUGAACACCAGCAUCUGUCAUGGAUCUCAGAAUACUGAGCUCCUGUGUUGCUAGGAAACCUCCUAAUAAUAUAAAAACAAUAUAUAUAAUAUAAUUCAUAAUGAAAUGAGAUGAUUCUUACAUUUGACCUCUUCAGUGUUAGCGUGAAUCUCAGGUGGAUGCCAGGAAGAGGACGUUUGUUUAACAUGUGCUGUCAGAGCGAUGUGAAGAAACGCCUUCAGGGAUUAUAGUGGUAAAUACCAGAGACAGUGACGUUAAAUGUGUGUUGCACAAGAGAAAAUCAUGUUACAUUGUAGGAGCAUCAACGAUCAGCCUCUCACUACAAACGCAUUUCAUUAUCUUUGAUUUCAUUUUCAGUCUCUUAUGCUUAUUUCACAGUAAAGUGAUGGUGGGAGGGGCUGCUCUACAUGUGCUGAGCGUCUAUGAUAUCCAGAUACUUGGCAUCAAUUACUCUGGGGAGGAGGCUGCACCUGAGGACAAACACGCAGAGGUUAGCCAUGAAACAACUAGCAGCCGACAGUCAGGUCCUGUCUGUGCAGGUCCCACCUGACGGGGACGAGCAGCAUCAGCAGAAGGGGGAAGACCAUCUUCAUGUAGGGCAGCGGAUGCAUCCCGAAGGCGCACACGAUGACCAGCUGGAUCAUCUGGAGCGCGGUGAAGAGAUGGAGCUUCCUCUGAGGGACGCGCCGGAUGUAGUGGGCAGGAGGAUAGGACGUCUGAACACAGACCAGGGCAAACAUGCAUGUUGUGGUGUUUCAUAGUAUCUAGUUGGCUUCACAAUAAUCUGGCAGAGGUCUGAAGUGGCAGGAAAUAAUUGUAGCAGCUUUCAGAUGAAUCAACAGAAUAGAUGAAAAGAGCAGAUUUCUGUUUCUGGCUUUAGAAAAUGACAAAACUAGCGGGUUUAAUUGAGCACAAACCCAAACAACCAGGCGUUUUCACACACAAAGCGCUGGAUGAACCCAGAGCCCGGCUUCACCUGUUCCUUCAGCAGCAGAGCCAUGCGGUCCGCCAUCUGGUUCCCGUCCAGCGACGUGGCCGCGAUGUAGAGGAAGAGGCCGUAGAGGACGGGCUUGGGGAUCCACUGCAGCGGGACGGGCAGCAUGAAGGCGGACACGCCCAUCAGCACGUUGGCCGCCAGCGCCGUCACACGCGUCUCCCUCACGCUGACGAUGCUGAUGGACACAGAAGAACUGAGGCCCAGCAUUCAUUUUAAACCCACGACAAGUUCAUAUUCCUCUAAGAGCAGCUGCUCUGGAUGAUACUCGCCACUGAUGAAGAUGGCCAGCGGCGCCGUGGUGAGCGGGACGACCAGCGGCGAACCGGCGAGCAGAGCGUAGAUCACUCCUCCGAUGCUCUGACCAACGAUGGCCUUCUGAACAUCUGUCAGCCGCAAGGAAGCGCGUCUUAGAGUCGGAACAUGUGCUCACGUCACGCGUGAGGAGUCUCUACCUAUUCCUCCCCGCGUGUUCUCGUCGUUGAGCGAGCCGAAGGCGAUGGCGGGCAGCAGGAUGGCGACGUAGAGGAAGACGGCCGUGGUGCUGUACUUGAGCAGAGAGCGGUCUGUCCCAGUUAUACCUUCAUGCAUAUUCAAAGGGUUAAGACAGAAACAGCCCAUCCCACCACGGGUUGAUGUUAGGAGCAUGGAUUGUCGGUACCGUCUGUGAAGUCUGACGGGUAGAGAGGGAGUCUGCGGCGCAGGUCGUCAUAGACGCCUUUACCAGCUCUGAGGAAGUCUUUGCACUGUGAAGAGAAGAUGAAGAGAGUUAAUCACAUACUGUGGCGCCGGUUGUUCCCCGGAACCAGAACCAACACACUGCACUCACUCAGGUCCUGGUUCUCACAGUAUCACACACUUUGGGACUGAACCGUGGUUCUACUGAAGCGCGUCUGAAGCGAGCGUCACUUUGGGUGUUUCCCUCCUCCUGAAUUCAAACGCUGGUUGUAAUGAAAUCCCUCAUCGCUGCACUGAGCUGCACCUUCUGCUGCCAGCGCCACACCGGACCUGGCAGCUCUCUCACUGAGCUGCCCGACAGUGUGUGGAAACAGAAUAAUCACAAAUCGGGCCCCUUUUCUCUAGCGCACCACUUUGCUUGGAUGGAGUGGCAAAACACGAGGGUGGUCACCGCAUGUGAAGAGGCUUCAGUCCAGGAUAGAAAUGUUGUGUUUGCGGGGUUUGUCUGUACAUGGAUCUGAGGCCCCCACUCCCUCUGUCGCUGGCUUGGCUGUAGAGAGCUGCUGUCGCCGGUGGACCAGCUCCUGUUUGAACUCCUCCACGGUCUCAGUCUCCAGAAGCUUUUGCCGGAAGGAAAUAUCUGAGAACAUCGUGGCAAAGGUUCGACCGAGUUCAAGGGCCGUCUUGGUGCUUUUCUGAGGAGACAUGAAGGGAAAGUGAAGGUAUUGGGUGGUUUGUUGGCUCAGUGACAAAGAACUGAUGAGCAGAAAGGUCACAGUGGAAAUAACCAACCCAAAUUUCCCAGAACACACAUUUGCCUUGUCUGACCUGGACUCACAAGGCCAAACACGUGAUGUUCAUAUCUUCAAGGACUCCAAUGAACUCGGAUCACCCAGAACAAAGCAUUUUGAAAAGCAGAACCGCCAAGCGGACCUCACCGUUCUGGGAGGAGCUAGGAUCAGGAUGAUGUAGCGGGCCUCGCAGCAGUUAAUGCCCCAGUUCUGUGGUUUCUCCAAACGGGCCACACUGACAAAGCGUCUCUGCAGGCGUCUCACAGUGGAGCUGAAUAGAGCAGGUAAAACUAAAUGAAUAUGGGAUACGUUAGGUUCCUUAUUGAUGAAGCUAAAGCAUCGCUAACAAUCAGAAGAUAAAGGACUUCUUGCGAGUUAUUGUUGCUUCUGUUCCGUAACAGUAACUUACAGAAUGCAAAGCCAGGACUGCUGGUACUGGAAACCAGCUGAAGUAGCUGUCACUCCCUGAAUGGUCUCUGACAGAAGGUGGACUGCAUAAAAACAAAGCCGAGGCAGUUUCAUUGUCUCGAAGCCCACAGACUCACCGCUGCCUGUCUCCUGUUCCACUCACCACUAAAGUCCUUUCCUCCUGCGUCGGUGAACAGCGAGUUCACGACCUCGUCCGCGCUGCAGCUGCUGUCGUGGUGUCCGUCCUCCACCAUGCGAGUGAGCAUCCGCCUCAGGACCUCGUCCAGAGUCGCAGCCUUCUCAUCCAAGAGGAUGCUGGCCUGGGCCAGGAAGCCGUCCAGGUCCCUGUGGGCUCGCACCUCUUCCUGGAAGUUCAUCGGCUUCACACACUGAGAAACGGGAAACAGAAAUAUGAUUAGGGAUGAUUUUAUCGGAGAAGCGCUGGCUCGAAGGUCAAGUCUUACUUUUCUUGUUGUGUUUAGAAGCCCAAAUUCAGGGACAUCGGCCUCUGUAAACAAAAUGAAGACGAAGUUUAAUCUGUAUUUAAAGCCACCGUUUGUUACUUUCACUUCUUAUCUCUGUCUUAAUUCCAGUUGCUUAUUAAUCUUCUUAUUUCUCAAGCAGUCAGAUGCAUUAGCGUCACAUCUCUCUGGUAUUAAUCGUGUAGGAAAAACGGGGAACAGUAGCUGCCAGUUUGUGUCCGUAACCUUUGCGUCCUUUACACUCACUCAGCACAUCAGAGCUGGAACACACCACUUUCUGAGUGCAGAACCUGCAGUUUGCUCUGCAAUAAAAACCUCAAGCGUAGCAGACAAGAAAGAAGAAGGGCUCUACAGUCAUCUAUUGAUCUAACUGAUGGUGAACAACAGAGGCAUCCUGUUUAUCUCUUAUCUCCUUACAGCAGUUCCCACCACAGAUCACACAUUAAUAUUUAACAGCUACUCCAUAUACAGUAUAAUGUACCACACUGACCUGCACUGAUGUGGUUGUCGUACACGUGAUCCCUGACGGUGGCGGGUGAAUCCUGACCACCCGCCUCCCGCUCCUGCAGAUCUGCGCAUGAACACAGAAGCCAUCACAGCGGAGGCUUCACGUCAGCAUCAUCUUUGUCAAUAGUCAUUUUUCUCUGCAGUACUUUGUUUAAACUGAAUUUGAAAUUUAAUGAAUUGCCUGAAAUAAGCAAGUAACAAUAAAGCCCAGUUUUACAGCCUGGGCUUGUUGGAGUGAUAAACCACACAGAGAUAAAAACAUUCUUUGUAUCAAGAUUAAGAUGCUUUUCCAUUAACAGCGUUUCCAAUGAGGGACAGUUUAUUUUGCCCUCCCACCACUCUGCCGUCUGUCGACAAGCACCCAGCAAGUGAGAGACCCAAUAAAAGGCCCCCUGAAAGCAGGCGUGCAGCAGUAUAACAAAAGCACCCCCUCAUAAAUUCCUUUAUUGUGCAGAAGAUAAACACGGCUUCUCAACCGCAGGUUUUAUGAGCGAAGCCGGAACCGCCUCAGAAUUAAAGAAUUAACCUUAACCAGUCGCGAUCAAAGCUUUGAGCAACGAUUAUUCCCUCUUCCCAUCAUUGACUCAGAGAUCGUUUGUCUCGUUAUUUACCCAUUAAUUAACCUCUCGACACACGGCGAAGGGCCUGGCUGUGCUCACCAGCAUGUAAAAUGGGCCAUCAGCGAGCAGCGUUGCCAUUAGCAUAAAUAACUGCCGUGGUAAAUGUACGUGUCUCCGGAAAGAGAAACACUGAACGGCGUUAUGCGCGUUUUCAAAGCAGAUCACAUCAAGCACACGAGAGAGCAGGAGCCACGCGGAGGAAAUAGAAUAUGUAUGAGCCAAGUGUUCAGUGAAGGCGUUUUUAAACAUAAACAUCUAGAUGAGCGGCUGGAGUUGGUUGCUUUAUAGAACAUGACAAUGAGUGUGGGUGUUUUUUUGCUUUUCAUGUAAUAUACUGCACGUACGGACCCAUCUUUGGGAAAACGUGGCCGUUCUUGGAGCUCCCGGUGGACGGAGUCUCUGUUGAAGAGCACAGACAAACAUGAUGGUUUAUCAUUAUGGAGGAAUUAGUAUCGUACCAAAUAAGAACACAUAAGGUUACAAAGGUUACACUCAGCAUCUAUAAUCUGUAUACAUGGAGUAAAUUACACUCAUUAUCUCUAAAUCACAGUUCAUGAAGGUGAUUGACGUAUUAGGCAGCAAGUAAACAUUUUCUCCUGAAAGAGCAGGAGAAAGGGUUUCAGUUUGACUUGGCCGGGCGACUGGGUCAGAACAUCUUUAUAGCUGCAGCUACUGUGGGGGGUUCCGGUAUCUAUCAAAGGUGGCACAAGGAAGAACAGUGGUGAACCAGAGACAGGCUCAUCGAUGUGUUGCCAUAAAACCAUGAAUAACAGAUGUUAGAAACCAGACCAGUGUUGUUCUACAGUCAUUUAACACGGAUGAUCUGACCAGUACAACUGUGUGAAACUGGACCAUGUUGACUUGGUCCUGUUGCUUCUUUUCUUUACCAGCAGGUGUAGUACACAUGCAGAGUUUUGUAAAUGAAAAUGGGACCUUUAAACCCAAAGCGGCUAUUUCAUAGCAUGAUGUCUGAUUUGGAAUCUCGAUGCUGCUCUUUGGUCAAACGUUAAAGACUUUUCGUUGCCUGAGGUAGAGUUUGGCUGCGGGGGGCGUCUGAUCAUGAUUGUAACUCAAAGGAGAGUAGACGGAACUUUCCCACGCCUCCUCUUCUUCACAGGAGUCUGCACAGACCACGGGGGGCAUCACCGCAUUAUGGUCCAAUAUCUCAUCCUUAUCUAUGAUCAGCAAUGCCAGCAAAAAGCAGUGCACACUGUCAGAUGUGUCAGAUCACAACAUCAACAGUGUGGGAGCUUUGGCCUAUUAGACUUCUCUGCAGUCGCUGUCAAUCAGUGCUGUCUGUGAAAUGUGGCAGACAUAACAUCUUCCUUCAGGCCGGAGCGUUGCGAUGACUCGAGUCUCUAGGUUUCCUGUUGGCAGAAGGUUGAUUUCCUCAUUCUUGCAGUGCUGUCUGGUGGCAUUGACGCUGCCAGAAGUACAAGUCAAACCUUGGCUUCCCCACAUGCUGUCUCUUCUGACCCUGGCCCUGUUUGUGAAGUCAUGGCAGCAAGUUGUGGUUGUCUGUCUGUGUCAGUUUAACCCCACAUAUAUGCUGAAUACAAAAUUUCACAGUAAAACAUCUUCUUUAAAUCUGUAGACCCAGACGUCGUUCUGUUAAUGCUGGUGAUUUGAUGUCUGCAAUUUUUCAAUCUCACGGAAUAAACAGGCCUGACUUGAAGCCAGUGUGUGGUAAUAAUCCCUUCUACUCUGUCUAUCUGGGCAGCUCAUGUCCUUGAGCAACAGCACAGUGAAGAAUCCUUGUUGGGUCUCCGAAAAGGAGCAAAAAAGGAAAAACUCUGAAAACUGAGAGAUGGUGUUAAUAAAUGUACUAUUUAAAUUGCAUUUUCAAAAAGUAGAUUAGUGCCAUCGUCUUAAAAAUUAUGAUUAAUCGUCAGGAGAUUUGCAUUUUGCAAUUUUAUGACUUCCUGUUUGCUAUAGAGAAAAUAUCACAGUGAGUGAUUAAGCGUUUAACUAAAAGUGUUUUUCUGGAGUUUGUCUUCAGUCCAUUAGUCAUUACGUGCCUCUAACGUCAUUCUUUCUAAUCUACAAAGAUGCCAGGUGAACGAAAAGGUUGUGGAAAACGUUGCUGUAUCCAAUCAGUGAACGUUAGAGCUACAAGCCCCGCCCCCAAAUACAAUUACAAUUAUUCGCAGAUCUGUGUUAUUGCCUUUAUAAUGACUUAGUCUUUCAAUAUAACCAAAAGUUUAAAGAACACCCAAAUGAAAUAAAAAACAGUAGAAGACUUGUUAUGUCAUAAAAUCAUUAUGAAUGAAGUAUUUAUAGUCCUUUCUAGUUGUGAACAGAUUUCACACAUAUAGUUACAUACUAUAGUUACAGGUUAAAUCAUGAAAACCCUUCACUCACCAUCUAAAUCUUACCAGACGGCACAAGGUCUAAGACUUUUGGUAUCCAUGUUCCUCAUGUGUUGUAGGUGACCUCAACCCAUCAUCUGCUCCCACAGCACCUUACAUUUGCUGCUGAUCCCCACUCAGUGUCUGUACGCACACAGGCGCCUGCACCUCCUCAGGAACAGGAGGAGCAGGGAGGGCAGGAGGACACAGGGAGGAUUAUACAGUAGUUUCUGCUGGGUCCUUGUGCCACUGAAUAAUGAAACACACGCAAGGAAACAAGAUUAGAAGACACGAUUAAAGCCGGCACCAAAAUGAGAACAUAACAAAGUAAGGUAUGCAAACUAUAAAAAGCAAGGAAUGACAAGGGUUUAGAUAAAGCACAAGACCACAGGAGAAAUCCAGCACAGAAAGAAAGGAUCAAGCUGGACAGGAAGUACUAGGUGACAAACAAGAACAAGAAUCUAAAUCUAACCUGAAUC